CCAGCAGCUGCGGUAAUUCCAGCUCCAAUAGCGUAUAUUACAGUUGUUGCGGUUAAAAAGCUCGUAGUUGGAUUUCUGGCACGAUGCGCCUGGCCCGCCUCAUUACGAGUGUGUGUGCUAGUGCGCGUCUGCCAUCCAUUUACAGAACGGCCGUACCUUUCAUUAGGCCGCUCUCGUGAUGUAAAUCUUUUACUUUGAAAAAAUUAGAGUGUUUAAAGCAGGCAUUUGCUAUGAAUACAUUAGCAUGGAAUAAUAAUCUAGGACUCUGGUUCUAUUUUGUUGGUUUCUAGUACUGGAGUAAUGAUUGCUAGGGAUAGUUGGGGGUGCUAGUAUUUAGGGGCCAGAGGUGAAAUUCUUGGAUUCUCUAAAGACUAACUUAUGCGAAAGCAUUCACCAAGGAUGUCUUCG
rnacentral:rRNA from 1 species